rnacentral:rRNA from 1 species
UACGAAGGGGGCUAGCGUUGCUCGGAAUCACUGGGCGUAAAGCGCACGUAGGCGGCUUUUUAAGUCAGGGGUGAAAUCCUGGAGCUCAACUCCAGAACUGCCUUUGAUACUGGGAAGCUCGAGUCCGGGAGAGGUGAGUGGAACUCCGAGUGUAGAGGUGAAAUUCGUAGAUAUUCGGAAGAACACCAGUGGCGAAGGCGGCUCACUGGCCCGGUACUGACGCUGAGGCACGAAAGCGUGGGGAGCAAACAGG